rnacentral:rRNA from 1 species
CGAACGCUGGCGGCAUGCCUAACACAUGCAAGUCGAACGAGACCUUCGGGUCUAGUGGCGCACGGGUGCGUAACGCGUGGGAAUCUGCCCUUAGGUUCGGAAUAACUCAGGGAAACUUGAGCUAAUACCGGAUAAUGACUUCGGUCCAAAGAUUUAUCGCCUAGGGAUGAGCCCGCGUAGGAUUAGCUAGUUGGUGAGGUAAAGGCUCACCAAGGCUACGAUCCUUAGCUGGUCUGAGAGGAUGAUCAGCCACACUGGGACUGAGACACGGCCCAGACUCCUACGGGAGGCAGCAGUGGGGAAUAUUGGACAAUGGGCGAAAGCCUGAUCCAGCAAUGCCGCGUGAGUGAUGAAGGCCUUAGGGUUGUAAAGCUCUUUUACCCGGGAUGAUAAUGACAGUACCGGGAGAAUAAGCUCCGGCUAACUCCGU